rnacentral:rRNA from 1 species
UCGAGCGAACAGACGAGGAGCUUGCUCCUCUGACGUUAGCGGCGGACGGGUGAGUAACACGUGGAUAACCUACCUAUAAGACUGGGAUAACUUCGGGAAACCGGAGCUAAUACCGGAUAAUAUAUUGAACCGCAUGGUUCAAUAGUGAAAGACGGUUUUGCUGUCACUUAUAGAUGGAUCCGCGCCGCAUUAGCUAGUUGGUAAGGUAACGGCUUACCAAGGCAACGAUGCGUAGCCGACCUGAGAGGGUGAUCGGCCACACUGGAACUGAGACACGGUCCAGACUCCUACGGGAGGCAGCAGUAGGGAAUCUUCCGCAAUGGGCGAAAGCCUGACGGAGCAACGCCGCGUGAGUGAUGAAGGUCUUCGGAUCGUAAAACUCUGUUAUUAGGGAAGAACAAAUGUGUAAGUAACUAUGCACGUCUUGACGGUACCUAAUCAGAAAGCCACGGCUAACUACGUGCCAGCAGCCGCGGUAAUACGUAGGUGGCAAGCGUUAUCCGGAAUUAUUGGGCGUAAAGCGCGCGUAGGUGGUUUUUUAAGUCUGAUGUGAAAGCCCACGGCUCAACCGUGGAGGGUCAUUGGAAACUGGAAAACUUGAGUGCAGAAGAGGAAAGUGGAAUUCCAUGUGUAGCGGUGAAAUGCGCAGAGAUAUGGAGGAACACCAGUGGCGAAGGCGACUUUCUGGUCUGUAACUGACGCUGAUGUGCGAAAGCGUGGGGAUCAAACAGGAUUAGAUACCCUGGUAGUCCACGCCGUAAACGAUGAGUGCUAAGUGUUAGGGGGGUUUCCGCCCCUUAGUGCUGCAGCUAACGCAUUAAGCACUCCGCCUGGGG